UGUUACAGAUCCUUCUUGUGUGGAGUUCUGUAAGUCUGUGUCUUCAGGAAGAUGCUGGGAAGGACUCUUCCAAGCCAUCGCACAGCAGUUGGGGUGACACAUCCCUUCCCAGCUAAGCAGUCCCUGGCAGAGCAGUGUGAUGCUCUGUUUGUCAUGUAAAGCUCACUGAGUUUCAGGCUGCAUGAUCUAUGUUGUGAUUAUUCAGCUGGCCUCAGAACUCACUGAGGGAACUGUACAAACUUCAAAAGAUAUCUUCCAAGAGGUGCAACUCCACCAGGCAUCAAGAUGAUUUGCUCCAGCUUUCAUGUUCAAGCUGACUGUGAUGAGACUCUUUCUGGAUCGUAAAAGUGAUGUGAUGCAGGCUGCUGUUAUGCAAAGAUACUUGGAACCUUAUUGUACUUCAGUCCUGAUCCUGCAACAGGACAGGCACAGAGGUGCAUUUGUACUCAUGAGCCUGUACCCAAGCCCUGAACACAGCCCCCAGAGCACUCUAGUGGCAAUGCUGGUUGGUUGGAGAGAACCCAGUGUGAUCAGGGACUGUUCCUCGUCCAUGAGGCUGAGUUUUGCACUUGGAUUAUUUUUUUUUCCUGUGGUUGAGUGCUCUGUAAAAGUCCGAGCUUGGCAAAAUAGCAUUUGAUUGUGAAUUUCUUGCAGAAAAGGACAUUCAGAAGGGCUAAACCAAUUUGCAAAAUCAAAAGCUGAAUUUGGAAAGUCAUUUCAGUCUGACCACUUCCUCUUGAAAACUGAGGGAUGUGUUUUUUGGAAGUGCUAAUAUAGUUUGAGUCUAACAUUUCUUAAAUCCAGCCUUUGUAAUGUUUGCAGCUUGCAUUGUUGACUUGUGUAUGCUUGUAAAGGUGAAACAGAUAAGAAUGGCUAAUUAGCUUGUAAAUAAAAUAGAACAUAGAAAUUCUA